GAACUCACGGUCGGGAGAAAGGGAUAUAAACCAUUGCACGAUGGCUGUUAGGCGCGUCCACCUGGUUGGGGUGCAUGGUCUUGCAAGAAUGUAAUAAAGAGUGCUUCACACCGCAUCCUGUCUGAGCCAUUGAUAAUUGGUAACUGGGCGUUUCUCACAAUUGCAAACCAGGCUUUGCUUCACCCGCC